CCUGAUGACAAUAGCAGUUUGGUCCCACCUGAUCCCAUUUCGAACUCAGAAGUGAAACGAACUAGCGCCGAUGGUAGUGCAGGGCUUCCCUGUGUGAGAGUAGGACAUCGUCAGGC
rnacentral:rRNA from 1 species